rnacentral:lncRNA from 1 species
CGCUGCAAAGGGCCAGCCUCGGGACAGAAGAGCUCAUUAGUGAAAACAAUCACAACUCUUGAAAGUGAGAGAGGAAAAAAAAAAAACCUCUGCGUUUACUUUAAGUAAAUUCUGACAAUGAGCCAACGAGGACACAAUCAGCUAUGAAAUCACGGAGAAAUUACUGCCUCUCAAGGUCUUAUAUUUUAUUCGGUAAAAUAGAUUGGGGUAGGGUGUUCCCUCCCCCUUCCCUUUCCCUUCCUUCCUCCUGGAAACUUUUGAGUGCCUCCUUUGUGCCAGGCACUGGACUGAGAAAAGAAAGUUGGGAAAAAAGAACCUGAAGUCUCUACGCUUAAGUGCCUUAGUGGGAGGCGGGGGCGGGCGGGACAAAGAGGGUGGAAACCGACAAUUUCAGUGUGUGAUGAAAUUGCUGUGAUAGAAUCUAUGCCCAGAGGGUUAGUGGAACUCAGAGGCAGGUUCUGAAUCAUGCUGGAUAUCCAGGAAGGCUUCCUAGAGGAGGCUGCGUUGGAGUUUUGAAGACAAAGCAGGCAUCAUGUAGAAUGAAGAGAGGCAGGAGGAAGAGCUGAACUUCUGCAGGGCUGCCCAAAGCAGGGAGAGGUGCAAAGUGCAAAAUGACUGGGUCACGUUGCUGUACAGCAGAAAUUGACACAACAUUGUAAAUCAACUAUACUUUUAGACAAAGGAAGUGACACAGGAAACCAGACUCUAGAAAAGCCAUUUUCUGUGAGGUGGUAGAGUCUGGUGGGAAGGUAUGGAGGCUCAAAGCCAGCAGGAGGAAGGUCCAAGGUGAUGUGCCGGAGGACCGAAUGAAACUCCCCUACAAAUGGAAGAUGAUUCUUCUUUGCAGAGAGGUCACAGUUUGAGAACCAUGGAAGCUGGUCAGGAGCGCCCCCUGAGGCCAGAUGAAAGGAAUGCAGGCCCUGCACAAGUCCGGAGCCUCAUCACAACCCCUCCCAAGAACCAUUACUGUAAAAUUCCUCAUCAACUCCUUUUGAAGGCCAGAGUCCCCAGUGGCCCCCUUUGCCUGGCAAAGCAAUAAAGCUAGGGAGUUCCUGCUUCUGUGCAGUGGCUAAGGAUCCGGCAUUGCCGAGGUUCACAGCUGAGGUUCAGAUUCAGUCCCUGGCCUGGGAACUGUCAUAUGCCACAGAUGCAGCCCUCUCACCAAAAAAAAAAAAAAAAAAAAAGGCAAUAAAGCUAUUCUUCUCUCCUUCACCCAAAACUACCUCUACGAUUCAAUUGGACGUCAGAACGGUCCUUUAUAAAUGUUUUUUAAAAUUAAUCUUUUAUUGUUUAAUUUUUUUUUUUUUUUUUGCCACACUUGCGGCAUGUGGAAAUUCCCAGGCCAGGGAUUGAACCUGUGCUACAGUGGUGACCCAAGCCACUGCAGUAACAGUGUCAGAUUCUUAAUCUGCUGAGCCACACAGGAACUCCUAAUUUUUAUAUUCUGGAAACAAGUCCCUUAUUGGAAUUUGAUUUGAGAAUAUUUUCUCAUUCUGUAUGUUGUUCUUUCACUUUCAUGACUUUUUUUUUUGUCUUUAGAGGGCUGCACCUGUGGCAUAUGGAGGUUCCCAGGUUAGGAGUCUAAUUGGAGCUGUUGCUGCUGGCCUAUGACAGAGUCGCAGCCAACGCCAGAACUGAGCCACGUCUGUGACCUACACCACAGCUCACUACAACACCAGAUCCUUAACCCAUUGAGUAAGGCCAGGGACUGAACCUGCAACCUCAUGGUUCCUAGUCGGAUUCAUUUCCACUGAACCACAGCGGGAACUCCUCAUGAUGAUUUUUAAUAUUCUUUAAUAAAUUCCUUUUCUACUCUA